CUGCGAGGACGACCUCGCGCCUUCCCCCAACAAUCGGCCGGGACGACCCGC
rnacentral:ncRNA from 1 species